GAGUUCCAAGGAUUAAAUGGAAAUGUAUGUUCCUUUGCCUUAGGUUCUUGUUUAGUUAAAUAUACAGGUUAACUGGUUUUCUUUUUGGGUUUGUCGCCACUCACCAUGCUAGUGGAUGAAAAUGUAAGCUUGUAGUGUUGUGCCAUUCCUAGUUCUAUGCCAGCGAGUGCACACACACGAACAUCCAAAUUAGGCUGAUGCAUUUGUAAUACAAAAAUACAAAAUUUGCUGGUGUUUAAUUUAAAACUUCUCAAAUACUAGAUACACCAAUGUAACAAACAGCCUGCUUGUAUUUACCAUCUACAAACUAUCCUCCUUGUUCUCCUGGAGUAAGCUCAUUGAAUGAAUUUUGAUACUGAAAGAUAGUAUCUUCUCAAAAAAAAAAAAAA
rnacentral:misc_RNA from 1 species